CAGAGGGAGCGACAGUGCGGCUAGCUUGCUGCGGCUAGCUUACUAACAUCACGGCUGCUAACCGGGACGAGGCCAACGUCCGGCAGCUAACCGACCUAACAGAGAAAACAACCAGUGGAAAACGACGCGUUGGAUUGACAACAGGCAGAGGUAAAACUCUGCCUUGUCCGGUGUCUGUGUUCACAGAGAGACAGCGCAGUGGCCUCCAACUGCUGAGCAGGAGCCUUAAGGAAGCGACAGGCAAAAAGAAGCGAAAUAAUGCCUCCAAAA